ACAAAGGCCCUGGGUUUAAUCCCCAGUACUGGAAAAAACAAACAACAAUAACAAUAACAAUCAUUACUGUCUUAGUCCUGAGACAAAUCUUUUAAGAGCCAUGUUUCUGCUUUGGUUUAUAUUUGGGGAGACAGCGGCUCAGGGGCUAAACUGCUUGAGGUGCCAGAGUUUCUGAGGCAUGGCUUGUGUGGGCACCUAGGCAAAUGGCAGCCAACACAAUGUGCAAAGCAAAAUGAGUGGAAGGAUUGGGCAGAAAAGGAAGAUUGGAGAGCCUUAUAAGCAGGUAAAAGAAAUCCGGAGGAGGGAAGGAUUAUUGGGUGAUACAAAUGGCAGGAGAAAUUAGAAAGCAUGAAGAAUUGUAGAAAAAUUAGAAGCGUUGAGAAGACACAGUGACUAUAAAAACUUCUGAGUUGGAAAGGUCAGAGGAACCUUAGCAGGAUAGCCUGGAAUUCAGGUGGAGUUCAGUGCAAGAGCGAACAUUUUCAGCACUCCAGGUGCUUGAAAUACACACAUAUUGCAUUACAGUAAGUGACGUUCAUACUGGGGCCACCCUAAGUCAUCAAUAAAUGCUUAAAUGAAGUUAAGCUUUGUUUACCUAGGUAGGGAAGUAUAAAAUCAAUCUGAACUUUCCAAAAUAAUUUAGACAAAUAAGAUCUGGUGCUAAAAGGAACUGUGCUCCUCUUAUUUUAAGCCUCGUUUGCUUGUAAAAUUCAUUCCUCAACCAUGCUUCAAAAUGAGGUGCUAGACUAUUUGAAAAGUUAUUGCUGGAGGGAAAAUAAGCUUUUCUUUCCUCAUUCAGGUAUGGUAGAGAUGACUAACUUUCCACCAAAAUGCAGAGUCAGACAGAAGUGGCUCCUCAGUCAGUGUGACUGUUAAUCCUGAGUUUUCAACUUCAUUAGAUUGAGAAGUGCAUAGUAGAUUUAUUAGAGCACUCUCUUGGAUAUAUCUAGGUGGGUCAUGGUGGCCUGGCCUUGGGUCAUAUAGCUGAUCUAUCUAUCACUUGUUCUUUUCUGGCUCUGUUCCCUUCCUCUGCUUUCUGGUUGCCAUGAACUGAGUACCUCUUCUCCACUAUGCCCUUCCACCAUGAUUGCCCAGGUGUGGAGCCUGUUUGACCAUGGACUGAAUCCCCUGAACUCCUUUCCAUGGAAGAGUUUUCACAUGGAACACACUUUCGGCUGUCCCCACUCCAGUAGUAUCUGGCAUUAAGUUAUCCUACUACCUAAUGGACUUCCCCCCUGGAAGAGCUCAGGAGCCUCACCAACAACAUCCACAAAGCUGAACCCAUCCAGUCUCCUCAAAUCCUUCUCUCCUCCCUCCAAGCAGCAAAGGCCCCAAUUCUAGCCAGGCAGCAGAGCCGUGAACCCAGCAGUCAGCCACCCACCCUCCCCUCCCACCUCAGCCAUGCCUGCUCUCCUCCAUCCUCUGCUUCUCUCAGUUCCGUUCACUGUUCUCCAUUCCCGCUGCCAACACUGCAGUGCAGCCUCUCGCCACUGCCAUACCUGAACAAUCCCAACUCUGUUACGGGGGUGGCUCACUUGCCAGCGUUCCUUGCUAGACUCUAGACAAUUUGGAGUUGUUAGCUACAGCUUAGCACAGUAUCUGGCACACAAUAAAUGCUCCGUCUCCCACACGGGUGCCUGGCAGUCAGAGGGAGGCCAGUGGGGAAAGCCAAGUCCUCACCCUCGCUUCCAACAGAAGGGCCCUUGGUCUGGUACAGCCUCAUUUUCAUGAACGAAGGAACGAACAAACAGGUUUCAACCAUACUCAGUGUAAAGGAUGACACGGAUCUUUAUUGUAAGUGACUAAAGGGCAGGGGAGUUAUCUUUUGGGGUUAAUUACAUUGUAGAACAGCCAAAGGACCAUGAGCGACUGUGCAUUGGCAGCUGGAGUGGGCACUGGUCACUUGCCUCUAUGUAAUUAGCAUUCUCUGCUUUUUGGGUUUGGAGUGGAAGUGAACGGCCUCUUCCAUCAGCACAACCCCUCCCGGAGUCCUCCAUCCCCUGAGGCAAAGACUCUCAACUCAAGAGUAUGCUCCAGCCAGGUGUGGAACACUCCCACCUGUAAUCUCAGCACUCUGGGAGGCUGAGGCAGGAGGAUUUGCACAUAGAAGCU